AUUGAACGCUGGCGGCAGGCUUAACACAUGCAAGUCGAGCGGGGGGAGGUAGCUUGCUACCGGACCUAGCGGCGGACGGGUGAGUAAUGCUUAGGAAUCUGCCUAUUAGUGGGGGACAACGUCUCGAAAGGGAUGCUAAUACCGCAUACGUCCUACGGGAGAAAGCAGGGGAUCUUCGGACCUUGCGCUAAUAGAUGAGCCUAAGUCGGAUUAGCUAGUUGGUGGGGUAAAGGCCUACCAAGGCGACGAUCUGUAGCGGGUCUGAGAGGAUGAUCCGCCACACUGGGACUGAGACACGGCCCAGACUCCUACGGGAGGCAGCAGUGGGGAAUAUUGGACAAUGGGGGGAACCCUGAUCCAGCCAUGCCGCGUGUGUGAAGAAGGCCUUGUGGUUGUAAAGCACUUUAAGCGAGGAGGAGGCUACUUUAGUUAAUACCUAGAGAUAGUGGACGUUACUCGCAGAAUAAGCACCGGCUAACUCUGUGCCAGCCGCCGCAGUAA
rnacentral:rRNA from 1 species